UGAAAAAAGAACCAAGAAAAGGCGUUUUUGUUUUCAACAAACUUUACUAAAUAACCCUGGAAAGGCAAUGAACGAUCUGACAAUUUAAGCUCUAAUGAUUUAAAGCUCAGCUAGAAGAAAGUGAGGCAUGACAUAUACUGUCAACGGAGGGUGAAGGAGGCAGAUUUCUGGAAAUGCAAUGAUCCCACACAUUUGCUUCAAGGAGAAACCUGCAGACAUAUUUUCAGGUCUUGCUAAGUAACAACUGUUUAUUUGUAAUCAAUACAUUUGGGAAAGUCUGCUAUGUAGCUAAGGUCACUGUGACCACAGAACAACAGAUGAAAAGGAAAAAGC
rnacentral:lncRNA from 1 species